CCCACUUUGCUCUUCCCGAACAAUGGCAGUAUUGACUUCGGUGUAGCCUCACCUGAUGGAAACAGUACCUAUGCUUUUAAUGCGGUUGCUACCUACAACUGUGACACUGGGUUUUCUCUGGUUGGUGACCAAACAAGGACCUGUACUGGAGAUGGCAACAGCACUACUGGUGCUUUUGAUAGAUUACCUCCAACUUGUGAACCCAUAACAUGCCCCGCUCUGCUCUUCCCGAACAACGGCAGUAUUGACUUUGGUGGGGCUUCACCUGAUGAAAACAGCACAUAUGCGUUUAAUGCGGUUGCUAACUACAACUGUGACACUGGGUUUUCUCUGGUUGGUGAUCAAACAAGGACGUGUACUGGAGAUGGCAACAGUACUGCUGGUGCUUUUGAUAGAUCGUCUCCAACUUGUGAACCCAUAACAUGCCCUGCUCUGCUCUUCCCGAACAACGGCAGUAUUGACUUUGGUGGAGCUUCACCUGAUGAAAACAGCACAUAUGCGUUUAAUGCGGUUGCUAACUACAACUGUGACACUGGGUUUUCUCUGGUUGGUGACCAAACAAGGACAUGUACGGGAGAUGGCAACAGCACUACUGGUGCUUUUGAUAGAUUACCUCCAACUU